rnacentral:tRNA from 17 species
GGCCCGUUGGUCAAGUGGUUAAGACACCGCCCUUUCACGGCGGUAACAUGGGUUCAAAUCCCGUACGGGUCAUCA